rnacentral:lncRNA from 1 species
GGAGGUAGUAACUAGUAGUGUCUAUUCAGCAGUCUGAUAGUCUGGAGGUAGUAACUAGUAGUGUCUAUUCAGCAGUCUGAUAGUCUGGGAGGUAGUAACUAGUAGUGUCUAUUCAGCAAUCUGAUAGUCUGGAGGUAGUAACUAGUAGUGUCUAUUCAGCAGUCUGAUAGUCUGGAGGUAGUAACUAGUAGUGUCUAUUCAGCAGUCUGACGGUCUGGAGGUAGUAACUAGUAGUGUCUAUUCAGCAGUCUGAUGGUCUGGAGGUAGUAACUAGUAGAGUCUAUUCAGCAGUCUGAUGGUCUGGAGGUAGUAACUAGUA